GGCGUGGGGGUCGUCCACGGGGUGG
rnacentral:piRNA from 1 species